GACGAACGCUGGCGGCGUGCCUAAUACAUGCAAGUAGAACGCACAGUUUAUACCGUAGCUUGCUACACCAUAAACUGUGAGUUGCGAACGGGUGAGUAACGCGUAGGUAACCUGCCUGGUAGCGGGGGAUAACUAUUGGAAACGAUAGCUAAUACCGCAUAAUAUUAAUUAUUGCAUGAUAAUUGAUUGAAAGAUGCAAUUGCAUCACUACCAGAUGGACCUGCGUUGUAUUAGCUAGUAGGUGAGGUAACGGCUCACCUAGGCGACGAUACAUAGCCGACCUGAGAGGGUGAUCGGCCACACUGGGACUGAGACACGGCCCAGACUCCUACGGGAGGAAGCAGUAGGGAAUCUUCGGCAAUGGACGAAAGUCUGACCGAGCAACGCCGCGUGAGUGAAGAAGGUUGUCGGAUCGUAAAGCUCUGUUGUAAGAGAAGAACGGGUGUGAGAGUGGAAAGUUCACACUGUGACGGUAUCUUACCAGAAAGGGACGGCUAACUACGUG
rnacentral:rRNA from 1 species